UACGUAGGGGGCAAGCGUUGUCCGGAAUCAUUGGGCGUAAAGCGCGUGUAGGCGGCUCGGUAAGUCCGCUCUGAAAGUCCGGGGCUCAACCCCGGGAGGCGGGUGGAUACUGUCGAGCUCGAGUCCGGAAGAGGCGAGUGGAAUUCCUGGUGUAGCGGUGAAAUGCGCAGAUAUCAGGAGGAACACCAACGGCGAAGGCAGCUCGCUGGGACGGUACUGACGCGUGAGACGCGAAAGCGUGGGGAGCGAACAGG
rnacentral:rRNA from 1 species